rnacentral:lncRNA from 1 species
UAUAGUAGACUUUUCCCUAGAGAAAGCUUCUUCAGCAAGAAAAAAGAAAACAAGAAAGAAGAAAAAAGCGUGUCUCUUCAUCCAAACUUAACAGCUGCUUCAAAGGAAAAAGCACUAACGGACUCGUCCUUGAAGAGCACAGCCUGGAAAGUCGGUAGCUGUCGGAACGCCCCUCCCCUAGGACCAAAUUUAGACUCCGCGAGUGGCAGACGGUCCCGAGUGCCACCGCUCGUGAGCCGGUCUCCGAAGCGGGGAAGAGAGGCCCCGGCCGCCCCUCGCUUUCGCUCCUACAGUCUUCCAAACAAACCAGGCGAGAUGGGAGUGCCUUCUUGGCUGUGGAAAUCGAUCCUCCUACCUUGUCCUGAAGUCACCCGCCGUCUUUCCUCGGCCCUCCCUUCGCGUGUCUGGCAUCAAGUAGACUUUGGGAAACUCUUUGUUGAAUAAAUCAACAAAGUUACUGUAGAAGAUGUCCCAUUUGACCCAGCUAUUCCCCUGGUGGGUAUCUUCCCCAAAGAAUUAAAAGAAUCAUACCACAGUGAUAUACGUGUACCCAUGUUCAUAGCGGCACAAUUUGUAAUAGCUAAAACUUGGAAGCAGCCCAAAUGCCCAUCAGCUGGACUGGGCACAGAGA